rnacentral:ncRNA from 1 species
AUUCUGGUUGAUCCUGCCAGUAGUUAUAUGCUUGUCUCAAAGAUUAAGCCAUGCAUGUCUAAGUACAAACAAAUUAAAAGUGAAACCGCAAAAGGCUCAUUAUAUCAGUUA